GCAAUCGAUCUCUUUUGCGGGCAUUUGCAGGCCCGCUCGGAGAUGAUGUUCCCCUUUUCCGCUACUUUCGGAAGGGCCGGCCGGAACAACCGCCGGCCCUCUUUCU
rnacentral:sRNA from 1 species